rnacentral:lncRNA from 1 species
UAACUAGCAACUAAUGAUAUUAGAGCGAGUAAAGUUCUAUCAUCUACACCAAAGUAAAGAAAUAAAGCUAGACAAUAAAAGAAAUCAUAAGUAGUACACUAUCAGUCUCAAAAGUACAAAAAUGGUGGUCUCUAGUACACUGGUAAAACCCUCAACCUCUCGCAAAAAUAAAAUAUAUAUCGAGAGGUAGACCACCUAGCAACUCGACCUCGAAGGAAGCUAGCUCGAAGCAACUCCCUUCCCGCGAUCCCUGGCCUCACCCUGCGUGGAAGGCUCUGAAAAACAUCGAGAAAAAGAGGGCGUGAGAACUAUAAUUUAUAGUUCCCAGUGGGCAAUUACUGACCUCAGCUCAUUGCUCCACUAGGCCCCAAAAAAAAAAGGGGGGGUAAGUCCAACAAUAAUAGUAACGAGUAAAUUGCAUAUAAGAAAGCAUAAUUAAGAUGCUAAGCUACAACUUGCAAUUAAACAUGGCAUUUAUAAUGCGACUUUAUCUUGUCAUGGAUAAUAUAUAUCUACAUGUUCACAAGUAAUAUCAUGAUUUACUUUAUACAGAUAUGAAAGUGAUACUUUGUCAUGACUACAAUGCAUAUAAGGAUGCAAUAAACAACAUCUCCUAGCAUACUACAUGUAUGUAUGAAUACCCAAAUGUCCACAUCUAUGCUAGAAGCAAGUCCAAGUAAUCCAGCUACUACUCUCUGUCUAGUAGUGAUUAUCACACACUCAACAUUGUGUCGGUUUCCAUUUCCAAUUAGGGACCUACCCAAGGUAGUCCAGCUUGUGCCGCCUAAGUGCCUGUGGUAGCCCGACAUCCCUACUCUUGGAAUGUGUCUGUCCCACUCGACCCCGUAGGCUUCUCAAUACCGCACGAGCGAACAAAAGUCGCGUAGGCUAACUCCGGAGUGCCGGCUUGUAGGGAGCGACCCUCACAAGCAUGUGCGAAUGAGCACAAAUGGCAAGCAAGCAUAGUCCAAGUCUCAAGUAUCCAAUCCUCAUGUCUCUAACAUGGUAUAGUCACUAGCAUCCCGAAGAUCUAGUUUAAGUCACAACAUGAAGUUCCAAUACUACUAAGUCUUGUGCCCCUUUAUGACACUUAGACAUUUUAAUGAACAAGUAUAUCCAACUCUCUCAAUGGCACUAUCCACUAGGUUCACACAUGACCCGAGCUCGAUGCCCCUUCAUGACAUUAGCCCAAUUAUUCACAAAUAGCACAAGUCCCCGAGCCUCUUUAUGGCUUACCAAGAACCUUUAAGUUCAAUAUAGGAAUAACUUUAAAUGCAUGCAAAAGAUGCUCAUUUUCACAAUAGGAUUUAUGAUUCCAAGUCUCAAUAGGAUGCCAAACAUAUGCGAGUACCACAUGCUAGUUCUCUACUAUAUGGAGGUCCGAACUUUCCUUACACAUAACAUAGGCAUAUUAAGCAUCCUAAAAUUCACAAUAAAUAUAUCUAACAUGAUUAUGCAUGCUUUUUCAAUUAACGAUACUUAAUUCAUCACAAAUGAGAAUUUCUCAUUGUGUGGCUAGGUCAAACCCACCGAACCGUCGCGUAGGGCCUCGUUUCGCCGAACGAAGUUGUCCACGAGUCUCAAAAUACCCUAAAAGUAUUGAGCGAAGAGAUACACGGGCAUUACGAUCAACUAUAAGAUCAAACAUUAACAAUUAUAGCAAAAGGGUUAAAACUCACCUAAGGAGUGGAAAAUCUCUCUCAAGCUCCAAAAGAAGGCUAGGAUCCUUCCAAUCUAACCCAAAGGAGGGUUCUAAUCCAAGAAAUCUAGCUUCAAAAGCCCUAGAUCAAAAAGCCCCAAAAUUGAACCCUAAGUCUCAAUCUAGGGUUUCAUCACAAAAUCCUCAAUAAAACUCUAUUUUAGAGGAAGAGAACAAGUGGAUUACCUCUUGGAAGCUUUAAGUCAAGCUCUAAAUGCUCUAAGUCCCAAGUUCUUCCCUCAACAAGGCCCCAAAUCCAAGCUCUUGGCUUCAACCAUGGUGAAAUAGCACCAAAAGGGAAAAAAGAGAGAUUAAUCCAAGAAAAAUCCAAAAGAGAGGGACCAAAUCACCAAGAGAGCAAGGAGGAACUCCCCUACCUCAAAUCCCAGAGUUCUCAGCUCAGGGGAAUGCCCUAGGGGCGUGGGGGUUCUAAUAGAAGUGCUACAAAAGCAAAAAUACCCCUGCAGUUUCGAACUGUGCGAAGUCUGCCGCCUUGUACCGGUACACGGGCCCUUGUACCGGUACAAGGUCCACGAAAUCCAAACCCGAGGCUCGGGUUGCUGGGCUCUGCGGCUCUGUACCGGUACAAGCUCCGAUGGCUGUACCGGUACAACCAUCAACCUUAUACCGGUACAAGCACAACCUUGUACCGGUACAAGCACAACCUUGUACUGGUACAAGCCCGCCAGAACUCAAUCCGAGAGUCAGCCAAAUCCCCUUUUUUCGGAUUUUGGUGCAAGGCUUUGUACCACAAAUCUCGGGACACGUGCCAUAGGUCGGAACACAGUCAACGACCCACCAGAAAAUCUGAAAAAGCUCAGAACACAGCCAAUCACUCGAAGCUCGCAAUUUGCAAAGGUCCAGUGUGUUACAUUCACCCCUCCUAAAAGGGAGGUUCGUCCGCGAAACUCAAAACAAACAAAAUACCUCAAGCCUCCAUCUGAAAAAGAUGGGGAUAUCGCUCCCACAGUGUGCUCUCCAACUCCCAAGUGGCCUCGCGCUUGCCGUGGUUGCUCCAAAGCACUUUCACGUAGGGAAUUUUCCGGUUCCGCAAUCUUUUCACCUCGCGAGCCAAGAUCCUUAACGGCUGCUCCUCGAAGCUCAAAUCAUCCCUCAGCUCCACAAGCGUAGCGUCCAACACGUGAGACGGAUCAUGGAUGUACUUCCGAAGGACCGAUACAUGGAAUACGUUGUGUACACCCGAUAGGUUUGGCGGUAGAGCGAGUCGAUACGCUACCGGGCCUACACGCUCCAAAACCUCAUAUGGUCCAAUGUAUCGGGGGCUCAACUUGCCCCGGAUUCCAAAUCGUCUAAUCCCCCGAGUCGGCGAGACCUUCAAGAAGACAUGAUCUCCAAUCUGAAACUCCAACUCUCGUCGACGCUGAUCAGCAUACUCCUCUGCCUACUCUGGGCUGUCAACAGUCGCUCCCGAGCAAUGCGAACCUUGUCCUCUGCUUCCUGGAGCACAUCUGGGCCUAAAGCCAAUCUCUCGCCAACUUCACUCCAAUGAAGUGGCGAUCUACACUUCCGUCCAUAGAGUGCCUCGAACGGUGCCAUCUUGAUGCUUGCUUGAUAACUAUUGUUAUAAGCAAACUCUGCCAUCGGUAGAUGCUGCGACCAUCCUCCCUGGAAGUCGAUCACGCAGGCUCGAAGCAUGUCCUCAAGUGUCUGUAUAGUACGCUCCGACUGCCCGUCACUCUGGGGGUGGAAAGCAGUGCUGAAAUCCAAGCGCGUACCCAAAGCGUCCUGUAGGUUCCUCCAAAAAUGGGAUACAAAACGGGGGUCUCGAUCCGAUACUAUAGAAGUAGGUAUCUCGUGCAGUCGCACAAUCUCAUCCAAAUAAACCUGUGCGAGUCUUUCACCAGUCCAAGUAGUGUGGAUAGGUAUGAAGUAUGCCGAUUUCGUCAAUCUGUCCACGAUCACCCAAAUAGCAUCAUGCCCGGCCUGAGAGCGAGGCAAUCCCAUCACGAAAUCCAUGGUGAUCUUUUCCUAUUUCCACACUGGAAUCGGUAGGCUCUGCAGCUUUCCCGCAGGAACUCGGUGCUCAGCCUUCACCUGUUGGCAAGUUAAGCAUCUAGCAACAAACUCACCAACACCUUCUUCAUCCCGGGCCACCAAUAAAAUAACCUCAAGUCCUUGUACAUCUUGGUACCUCCCGGAUGUAUAGCAUACGGUGCUCGGUGUGCUUCUUGAAGAAUGUCCUCUUUAAUGCCCAAGUCCGUCGGUACACAAAGUCGUCCGCAGAAACGCAUCAAUCCAUCACCAUGUAAAGUGAAGUCGCCGGUGCAACCAUCAACCAUCUUAGCUCGUAUCUUUUGCAACUCCGAGUUGGAAGCUUGCUUUUCUUUAAUCCUUUCCAAAAGGGUAGGUUGCACCACGAAAACUGUCAGCCUCAAGGGUGUAUCAGGAGCCACCACCUCCAACUCCAACCGCUUUAUCUGCUCGAUUAACGGUGGUUGAGUAACCACAAGCAUCGCUAAGUUCUCCGUCGAUUUUCGAUUUUGCGCAUCCGCCACCACGUUAGCCUUGCCCGGGUGGUAAAGUAUCGUCAAAUCAUAGUCCUUGAGUAGCUCCAACCAUCUGUGCUGCCUCAAGUUCAACUCCUUCUGAGUGAAAAGAUACUUUAAGCUCUUGUGAUCCGUAUAUACUUCACACCACUCGCCAUAUAAGUAGUGGCGCCAUAGCUUCAAUGUAAAGACUACGGCCGCCAACUCCAAGUCGUGAGUGGGGUAAUUCCUUUCAUAAUCCUUCAAUUGGCGAGAUGCAUACUCGAUCACUUUCCCGUCCUGCAUCAACACACAGCCCAAUCCAUUAAAGGAAGCAUCACUAUAAAUCACAUAUCCUGCUCCAGCAGUUGGCAAGGUUAGGAUCGGGGCGGUCGUCAAUCUCUGCUUCAACUCUUGGAAGCUUCUUUCACAGGCAUCAUUCCAAAUAAACUUGGUGCCCUUAUGCGUGAGCCUCGUGAGGGGGGUAGAUAACUUUGCAAAUCCCUCAACUAACCGUCGAUAGUAGCCGGCCAAACCAAGAAAGCUCCGAAUCUCCGUGACACUCGUCGGCCUUGGCCAAUCCUUGAUAGCCUCAAUUUUCCUCGGGUCCACGGCUAUGCCUGAUCCUGAAAUCACAUGGCCCAAAAACGCCACCUCUCUAAGCCAAAAUUCACACUUUUUCAACUUGGCGUAGAGCUUCUUUUCCCGAAGCACUUGAAGUACAAGUCUCAAGUGUUCCUCGUGAUCCGCAUCACUCUGGGAAUACACUAAGAUGUCGUCGAUAAACACCACGACAAACCUGUCUAAGUAAGGCUUGAAAACACGGUUCAUUAAAUCCAUAAAAGCUGCCGAGACGUUAGUAAGCCCAAACGGCAUAACGAUAAACUCAUAGUGUCCAUACCGUGUUCUAAAAGCCGUCUUCGAUACAUCCUCAGGUCUAAUCCUCAACUGGUGAUAUCCCGAUUGCAAGUCAAUCUUGGAGUACACACAAGAUCCCUGGAGCUGAUCAAAUAGGUCAUCAAUCCUCAGCAAUGGAUACUUGCUCUUAAUUGUGACUUUAUUGAGUUCACGAUAGUCCACACAUAAGCGACGUGAUCCAUCCUUCUUCUUCACAAACAAAACCGGUGCUCCCCAAGGUGACACACUCGGUCGCACAAAACCCUUAUCCAGAAGAUCCUGCAACUGUACCUUCAGCUCUUUCAAUUCUGCUGGUGCCAUCCUAUAGGGCGCCUUUGAGAUUGGAGUAGUCCUGGGAACGAGAUCUACCACAAACUCAAUCUCCCUAUCAGGAGGCAUAUCUGGAAGCUCCGCUGAAAACACAUCUCUAAACUCCCGCACUACGGGGAUAUCCUCAAUCCUAGGGGCGUCAUCCACACCCCGCAACACAACAGUAGCCAAGUAGGCUACGCAGCCUCUACUAAUCAACUGCCUAGCUCGAGAGGAGCUAAUCGUCAUCGCAAACAACGAACUCUGGCAUCCUCGGUACACAACCUCCGCCUGCCCUGGCUCUCUAAAAGUCACCGUUCGAUCCUUGCAAUCGAUAGUGGCGUAGUACUUAGUCAACCAAUCCAUGCCCAACACAACGUCAAACUCCCCGAGUUUAUGCAAAGCUAACAAGUCUAUGGGCAUGAUCCAAUCUCCAACCCGAAUAGGGCAGCUGGGGCAAAACUCCCGAAUGUCCAAAGAAUGAUCAGGUACAACAACUCGUCCCAGGUGCAACAAGGAUACAAGUGGGAUGCCAUGCAGCUCGGCAAACAGCCGAUCAAUGAAUGAAUGCGAUGCACCGAUAUCAAACAAAGCUCUAACUUGAAUACCAUGAAGUAAAAUGAUACCUGCGACCACAUUCUCGGCUGCCGCCGCCUCCUCAGUCUGGGCCGCAUACAUGCGCCCGCUCCGGGCCUGUCGUGACCCCUCCGCCUGCCGCAGAACUGGCGGCCGCUCUGCCUGGUGAUGCGCAAAAGAUGUCCCCUGACUGAGACCUGGCGAUGCUGGUGUAGAUGCCGAAGAUGGCGCUGGCAAUGGACUCCUCGGGCAGUCCGACUAAAAGUGGCCCUCCUGGCCACACAAGAAGCACCUACCCCGGCUGCGUGAACACUGCCGCGAGUAAUGAGGACCGCCACAAAUCACGCAGCGGGGUCCUGGCGACGAUCGGGUCCUCCUCGCUGAGUAGACUGGCCCCGUCCUCGAGACUGGCUCCUACUCCUGGGAUGCCUCGGCGGCCUCUGUGAGUGCGUCCGACUCGUACCCUCAGCCGCGGGCCUCUUUCCCUUGCCCUUGUCUAGGGCCUCGCGUCGCUCCUGAAGGUCUGCCGCUCCAGCCUCCACAAUAAGUGCACGGUCCACAACCUCCCGGUAGGUUUGGAGGUUAGAGGACUGCACCAACCGAAAGAUCGAAGACCGCAAUCCACGCUAAAAAAUGCGGGCCUUGUCCUCGUCAUCUCGCACCACAAAAGACACACAAUGGAGUAGUCGAGAAAACUCCCUCUCGUACUCGGCCACGGACCGCUCAUCCUGGCGCAAGCUGCGCAAGUCCUGCUCCAUCUUCCUCUUAACGCUGGUCGGGAAGUAGUGCGCCAGAAGAAGCUCCUUGAAUCGCGUCCAUGUGAUCGCUGUCAAGUCGGUGCUGGGAUUGUCCUGGAUAUCCAACCACCAACGAUAGGCCUCGCCGUCAAGAAAAUGAGUGGCGAGCCAAACCCUGUCCAUCUCCUCAACGAAGGUGUCUCGAAACAGCUUCUCCAUAUGCAUCAACCACUUCUCAACAAUCCAGUGGUCGACGUUCUCGCCAUCAAACAUCCUCGGGCUGCACCUCCUGAACUCACUGAGGCGCUCCAUGAGCCGAUCCCGCUCGGCUCCCUCGGCCAUCACGGGGAAUGCCGCCCAUGUCGCUGGUCUCUGAACUGGGGGUACCGCAGCCACCUCCUCCCGAGGUGUGGUCGCCGGCGCCGCACGGGAAGAACUGGGCGCGGGGGACUGCGCUCUCGGUGCGACGUCCACCACGGGUGCUGGCGGUGUGAGAACCUGGGUCUCCCUCGAAGCUGCUGCCUGCUGAAGUAGGAGGUCCUCAAGAUGCUUCAUCUGCGCCUCUUGCCGCUGAGCUACCUCAGCCUGUCGCUGCGCCGCUGCCGUCUGCUGCGCCAACAGGUCAGUGAGAACCGCAAGCUGGGCCCUCAAGUCACGGACCUCACUAGAUCCGGAAGUAGCGGAGGUCUCGACCUCCUCAGGGUGUGCCGCAUCAUUCGCCCCAGCAGACUGGGAGCGUGUAAUCGGCAUCGUCACUACAUAACAUAAAAGCGCAAGUUAGUAACCCACGCUAUCGCAUCCCCGCUCAAAUAGAUAAAACCCAAAUCAUGCGAAAGUAAGGAAGUGUCCUUCACUACUAACUCCGGAUGUUACGUUGUCGGCCGCCAACGUAACCCUCCGCGAAGUUAGAAACCAUACACUCCGAUCAAACUUUAACUUUUUAGAGUUGUCAUAAACCUAAUCAUAAAACUUUCGCUCACAAGUCAAUUAGACCUCGUCUCUCACGAGCCUAAUUCCUAUAGUCCAACCGGCCUAAGGUUUGCUAGGUCCUCUAAAACUCAACCCUAGGCUCUGAUACCAAAUUAAUCUGUCACGCUACGGGACCGGCGGAGGCCCUCCCGGUAGCGUGCCCAGACCCGCCAUAUGUCUACACAUAUAAGGCGUCUACAAUAAAAAGCAGAAGUAAAGCGAGAGAUAGAACAAAUAACAAGAAGUAAAAUAACUAGCAACUAAUGAUAUCAGAGCGAGUAAAGUUCUAUCAUCUACACCAAAGUAAAGAAAUAAAGCUAGACAAUAAAAGAAACCAUAAGUAGUACACUAUCAGUCUCAAAAGUACAAAAAUAGUGGUCUCUAGUCCACUGGUAAAACCCUCAACCUCUCGCAAAAAUAAAAUAUAUAUCGAGAGGUAGACCAUCUAGCAACUCGUCCUCGAAGGAAGCUAGCUCGAAGCAACUCCCUUCCCGCGAUCCCUGGCCUCACCCUGCGUGGAAGGCUCUGAAAAACAUCGAGAAAAAGAGGGCGUGAGAACUAUAAUUUAUAGUUCCCAGUGGGCAAUUACUGACCUCAGCUCAUUGCUCCACUAGGCCCCAAAAGAA